GGCAAAUGAUGUCUGUUUUCAGUGUUCUUUAGAUGUCUGCCACAGGCACUCUAACAUAGCAGACUGGUAAAGCUGAUGCCAGGAG